UCUCAAAUUCGUGUUGUGCUGGUGAACUCAUCCCGGGUCCAGCAUGACGAUCCGACACCAAGGCCAGCAGUACAGGCCGAGGAUGGCAUUUCUCCCAAAGUGGAAAAGACAAAGCAAUCUGGAAUGGUCUCUAGCACUUUCCACAAGAACUCUACUUAAGUUACACCAAGUAUUUACAUGUCUGCUGUGGGCUGAAUCAUGUCCUAUUCAUAGAUGGAAAUCCCAACUCCCAGCUGAUUAAAAUGAAGAAGAGCCCAGAAGACCCCACAGGUACACAGACCAAGAGGAGACCAUGUGAGAAGACAGUAAGGUUGCCUGCUUGUGCCAAGGAGACAGUCCUCGAAAGAAACCAAACUGUUGACACCUUCAUCUUGAACUUCUAACAAUGAGGGUAUCGUGACCCACUUCUACACAGUGCCAACUGGCAUCCUUCUUCCAAGUCCCUUUUCUACACAUUCCUUUGCAAUUCCUCCUCGUCUGACCCAAGUCACCGCCUGUCCGGUUCACAAAUAAUAAAGUGCAUCAUAUAUGUCUGUUACUUUCUUUCUGGCGCUGUUACAGAAGCUUGAACUCGGGGCCUGAGCGCUGUCGCUGAGCUUUUCUGCGCAAGGCU